rnacentral:lncRNA from 1 species
AUUAUUCUUCAGGUUUUUCACAGAGAGAUAAAAUAACAUUUUUGUAUUUGAAUGAAAAUAUUGGAGAGUAAACUCAUCUUUUUGUGGACUUGCUGAAAGUAUUUUCAGUAGAACUAUAGUAGUAGAGUAAUGGAUUAAGGCAGAAAAUAAGCCUAUGUAAAGAGGUCAGUUGAGACAAU